ensembl:snRNA U6 U6 spliceosomal RNA
AUGCUUACUUCGGCAGCACUUAUACUAAAAUUGGAACUAUACAGAGAUGAUUAGCAUGACCCCUGUGCAAGGAUGACAUGCAAAUUUGCAAAGCAUUCCAUAUUUUU